GUGAGAAGCAGCCCUUCGGUGAAAGGGGAAAGAAAGAGCAUCUGGAGGCGCCGGAGGGAGAGACGCCAGGCUGCGAUGGCUCAACCUCCUAAAAAUCAAGACAUUUACCAUAUUUAACAUUCCUGUAGUGAAUUAACAAGCCUCAGGUGCCUUCAAUGGCAAAGGGUUUUGCCUUUCCUUCCCUUAAUAAACCCUCCAUGAAUGAGUGGCCUGUCUGCAAGCCCCAGCCCAGCUUGCACCUGUGUCCUCCCAGACCUCCAGUUUCUCUCCCUGAAGGCAGUGAAAUGCAGGUCAAUGUGCCAGUGAAAAUCCAACCACAUCCAACAAAGCCACAGAGAUAUUUUACUUUAACUUUGGGAGCCAAAGAAGGGCUGGGGGUUGCCUGUCUUGGAGCAAGUGCUGCGUGACAGGGUGGAGGUUCAGGUACAUGGACGUGACUCGGGCUUUCAGAACAGCAUGUGCAACACAGCUGAGAGGAGGGGAAAACCACCAGGCCCUGACGUCUGCUGAGGAACAACACAACACCCCAGGCAGCUGACAGCCCAAAGCUUUGAUCAAUACUUCAUUCCUGGGGCUGCCUUGUGCCGGGUCAGGAGCUGGAUUCGCUGCUCUUUGUGGGUCCCUUCCAACUCAGGAUAUUCUGAUUCUGUGAAUACAUAUCUGAUGCUCCUCAAGCAAUCCUUUCUCUUUCCCAAUCGUACCCGUGAAGUCAAGUGGAGUAACAAAUAGAAAUAAAGCAAUUCCUCUGCCUCAAAAUCAAUACACAGGGGGUGAAGGGUGCAGGUCUCCUGCUCCUCCUGCCUGGGAAGAGGAUGCUGGAGUCCUGUGCAGGACUGGCAGCACAGGGCCAGCAGUGACAGCUUCUACGAUCCAGCAGAAAGUGGGUGUGGGGAAACCCCAGCCACUGUGGUCCUCUGGGACUUCUCAUCGUCAUGGCUCUGUACUUCUGGCACCCUCUCCUGCCUGGACUGAUGCCUGCAGGCACUGGGAACACCAUGUACCUUAUCAUGGAAUCACAGAAUAGUUUGGGUUGGAAGGGACCUUAAGGUCCUUUUUCCAUCACCCCUGCUACAGGCAAGGAAUUUUCCACUAGACCAGGUUGCUCCAAGCUGUGUCUGACCGGGCCAGGAAAGCUUCCAGGGACGGGGAAUCCACAGCUUCUCUGGGCAACCUGUUCCAGCGCCUCCCCACCCUCAUAAGGAAUACUUUUCUUCCUCAUAUCACCUCCCCAGGGGAGACCUGGACGCUGGGUACAGCAUUUCUGGGGGGGGGUCUCUUCUUGCAGGAGAUGUGGGAACCCCUAAGCCACACAGCAUCGUGGACCCUGUCCUGUGAUGAGAUGCAGCACCUCUGGUUCUCUAAGCCAAAGGAACAAAAGUCCUCUGUGUCCACGAUUUGUCAAAGACCCCGAGCUGUGCUAGGGGCUUACAGGAACUCUGUGCCAUCAGGCAGCACCUGCAGCCCCCAGACUCCCGUUACUCUCAUCACAGGGCUGAAGAGGCAGAGAGAACAGCUGUGACACUUCCCCUUCUCGUACAAGGAUGAAAAGCCCUGUGUGGGGGGGAGAAAGACCCAUGGAAUAUCACAUGGCCAUCUGUCCUUCAGUAAAAUGCAAAUUUUGUAAGAGGAGGAAAAUAAGUUAAAAAGAGUCCAGUGGGUUCAAACUGGAAUGGAGAUGAUAAAGGUGAUGCAAACAUUUGAUUACAUGUUGAGGUUAGGGCUCGUCAUUCAGCCUUGGUGCAAAAAAGUCAUCAGCAAAAAUACCAAAGGUGUGGGAAUAAAUCAGGCAGAAAACUCAGACUUAAAUUCAAAUUUAUUUAGAGGAAGAUUGACUUUACA